AUGAAGUUAAAUGCUUCUCCAGGGCCUGAUGGUUUCAAUGUUGAAUUUUACUUGGCUGCUUGGGAUUUGAUAGGGGAUGAGGUUACUCAGCUUGUCGUCAAUUUUUAUCUUACUGCUGUUUUGCCUCCUCACAUUAAUGAUACAAAUAUUGCUCUCAUUAAAAACAAAUUGGUUCCCCAAGUCCCUAUGGACUAUCGUCCUAUUAGUCUUUGCAAUGUUGUUUACAAAAUUAUUGCGAAGUCGCUUGCUAACAGGAUUAAACCUCACCUUCCUGAUUACAUAGAUCCAGCUCAGCAAGCUUUUAUUGAAGGAAGAAGAAUUAGUGACAACAUCAUUAUUGCCCAAGAGAUUACUAACUCUUUCUCUUUGAAAUCUUGGAAACAUAAUUCUUUCAUGCUUAAAAUUGAUCUUGCUAAAGCGUUCGAUCGUCUUGAAUGGAGUUUCAUUGUUUCUGCGCUUACACGUAAAGGGCUGCAUAGUCAUUUUAUAAAUUUAGUUCAUGCAUGCAUCUCUUCGCCCACGUUUUCUGUUAUUAUUAAUGGUCAACCAUCUCAUAAGUUUAAAAAUUCUCGGGGUAUUUGA
rnacentral:rRNA from 1 species